AAUGGGAACACUUUUGAUAUCGAAGAUAAGGGAAGAAUACCCAGAUAGGAUGAUGUUGACCUUCUCUGUUUUCCCAUCUCCUAAGGUCUCUGAUACCGUCGUGGAGCCUUACAAUGCUACUUUGUCAGUUCAUCAGUUGGUUGAAAACGCUGAUGAGUGCAUGGUUCUCGAUAAUGAGGCCUUGUAUGAUAUUUGUUUCAGGACACUUAAGCUCACCACUCCCAGCUGUAAGUCUUCCCCAGAUUUAGUCCUUUUUCAUUUAAUAUCUUUUAUUAGACUCUGUUUGUAUAGUUUUAACGUGGUAGCAAAGGUUCAGAACCAUGCAUUUUAUUUGCAAUUUUACUACCGUUCAAUCGUUGCUGAUCUGGGUUGUGAAUGACAAUAAUUUCCUGAAAGGUUAAAUUCGAGUUAGUAAGAACUGGGAUCUGUUUAUUUAGCUUGGGGAUCUUCAGAGUUCUUACAUUGUUUCAUUUGAUCUGUGAAUUGUUUUCUUGUUUCAUUUUUUAGUGCUUUUCCUACCUAGUGGAUGUAGGAUUUUGCCUUAUGAUCUGGCCUAGGAAUAAAAAUAGUUUCCUGAAAGGCAAAAAUUGAGUUGGUAAUAACUAGGAUCUGUUUAUUUUAGCUUGGGGAUCUUUGAAUUCUUACAGUUUGCUGUUUUCUUUUUGUUCUUUGACAGUUGGUGAUCUGAAUCACCUGAUAUCUGCAACAAUGUCUGGGGUUACAUGCUGCUUACGAUUCCCUGGUCAGCUCAACUCUGAUCUAAGGAAACUUGCUGUGAAUCUCAUCCCAUUUCCUCGGCUUCAUUUCUU
rnacentral:lncRNA from 1 species